CCUACGGGCGGCAGCAGUGGGGAAUAUUGGGCAAUGGGCGCAAGCCUGACCCAGCAACGCCGCGUGAAGGAAGAAGGCUUUCGGGUUGUAAACUUCUUUUGUCAGGGACGAAGAAAGUGACGGUACCUGACGAAUAAGCCACGGCUAACUACGUGCCAGCAGCCGCGGUAAUACGUAGGUGGCAAGCGUUAUCCGGAUUUACUGGGUGUAAAGGGCGUGUAGGCGGGACUGCAAGUCAGAUGUGAAAACCACGGGCUCAACCUGUGGCCUGCAUUUGAAACUGUUGUUCUUGAGUACUGGAGAGGCAGACGGAAUUCCGAGUGUAGCGGUGAAAUGCGUAGAUAUAAGGAGGAACACCAGUGGCGAAGGCGGACUGCUGGACAGCAACUGACGCUGAGGCGCGAAAGCGUGGGGAGCAAACAGGAUUAGAUACCCCGGUAGUC
rnacentral:rRNA from 1 species